rnacentral:rRNA from 1 species
UACGAAGGGGGCUAGCGUUGCUCGGAAUUACUGGGCGUAAAGGGCGCGUAGGCGGACAGUUUAGUCAGAGGUGAAAGCCCAGGGCUCAACCUUGGAAUUGCCUUUGAUACUGGCUGUCUUGAGUUCGGGAGAGGUGAGUGGAAUGCCGAGUGUAGAGGUGAAAUUCGUAGAUAUUCGGCGGAACACCAGUGGCGAAGGCGACUCACUGGCCCGAUACUGACGCUGAGGCGCGAAAGUGUGGGGAGCGAACAGG